rnacentral:rRNA from 1 species
GACGGGGGAUGCGAGCGUUAUCCGGAAUGAUUGGGCGUAAAGGGUCCGCAGGUGGCCCGGUCAGUCCGCUGUCAAAGCCUGGGCUCAACCCUGGACAGGCGGUGGAAACUACCAAGCUGGAGUACGGUAGGGCAGAGGGAAUUUCCGGUGGAGCGGUGAAAUGCGUAGAGAUCGGAAAGAACACCAACGGCGAAAGCAACUCUGCUGGGCCGACACUGACACUGAGAGACGAAAGCUAGGGGAGCGAAUGGG